CAAUAGCGUAUCUUAAUGUUGUUGCAGUUAAAAAGCUCGUAGUCGAAUAUCUGGCCGGGAAAACCGAACUUCGUUUGGAGCUUUCCUAGGCCAUCCGCCUGAAAAAUUAGUGAUCGUUAAUAGCCUUUGCUUAUGGAUCAGGCACUUUACUUUGAAGAAAUUAGAGUGUUUCAGGCAGGCUAUCGCUUGAAUACACCAGCAUGGAAUAAUGGAAUAGGACUUUCAUCAGUUACUGGUUAAUAGAUGUUUGUUAAUAGAUUAAUAAGGACGAGUUGGGGGCGGAUUCGUUACUUGACAGUCAGAGGUGAAAUUACUUUCGUAUUUGUUCAAAGAACGAACUAAAUAGCGAAGGCAUCUGCCAAGGAUGUUUUCUAUUGAUCAAGAACGAAAGACAGGGGAGUCAAAGACGAUUAGAUACCAU
rnacentral:rRNA from 1 species